rnacentral:lncRNA from 1 species
AGAUGGAUUACUUACCUGGGUCUUUGGGGUUUGAGUAUUUAUAGAGGAGAUGGCUAUGUAACCAUUUUUGAUAAAUAGACUGGCCAAACCUGAUGCGGUUAUUUAGUUAUGAUUCUUAGGAUCAGACGGUUACACCUGAAAGAUUCUCAGAAUCAGACGUUUAUGCCCACAUAGCAUUGAUAGCUAUGGCCAGAUAGUAUUAACAGC